rnacentral:rRNA from 1 species
UUCGGUCCCUGAGUAGAGCGGCGCACGGGUGAGUAACGCGUGGAUAAUCUACCCAUGGAUUUGGGAUAACAGUGGGAAACCGCUGCUAAUACCGAAUAAGCUUACGCAUUGUGAAGAUGUGUGAGAAAAGGCGGCCUCUGCUUGCAAGCUGCCGUCAAUGGAUGAGUCCGCGUCCCAUUAGCUUGUUGGUGGGGUAAGAGCCUACCAAGGCGACGAUGGGUAGCCGGCCUGAGAGGGUGGCCGGCCACACUGGAACUGAAACACGGUCCAGACUCCUACGGGAGGCAGCAGUGGGGAAUAUUGCGCAAUGGGCGAAAGCCUGACGCAGCAACGCCGCGUGAGGGAAGAAGGUCUUCGGGUCGUAAACCUCUGUCAGGAGGGAAGAAAUACAUGAGGUCGAACAGGCCUUGUGUUUGACGGUACCUCCAAAGGAAGCACCGGCUAACUCCGUGCCAGCAGCCGCGGUAAUACGGAGGGUGCAAGCGUUAUUCGGAAUUACUGGGCGUAAAGGGCGUGUAGGCGGCCUUGUAAGUCAGGUGUGAAAGCCCACGGCUCAACCGUGGAACUGCACUUGGAACUGCUUGGCUCGAGUACGGGAGAGGGUGGCGGAAUUCCCGGUGUAGGAGUGAAAUCCGUAGAUAUCGGGAGGAACACCAGUGGCGAAGGCGGCCACCUGGACCGUAACUGACGCUGAGACGCGAAAGCGUGGGGA